GAUGAACGCUGGCGGCGUGCCUAAUACAUGCAGGUCGAACGAGUUCUGAUUAUUGAAAGGUGCUUGCAUCUUGAUUUAAUUUUGAACGAGUGGCGGACGGGUGAGUAACACGUGGGUAACCUGCCCUUAAGUGGGGGAUAGCCUCGGGAAACCGGGAUUAAAACCGCAUGAUGCUUUUUUANCGCAUGGUAGAGAAGUCAAAUCGAAUAAGAGGUAUGGGAUGAGUUCGCGUCUGA
rnacentral:rRNA from 1 species